AUUGAACGCUGGCGGCAUGCCUAACACAUGCAAGUCGAACGGGGGUAGCAAUACCCUAGUGGCGGACGGGUGAGGAAUACGUAGGAAUUUGCCCUUAAGUGGGGGAUAACCCGGGGAAACCCGGACUAAUACCGCAUGAUCUCGUGAGAGCAAAGCAGGGGACCGCAAGGCCUUGCGCUUUUGGAGAAGCCUACGUCGGAUUAGCUAGUUGGUGGGGUAAUGGCCCACCAAGGCUACGAUUCGUAACGGGUCUGAGAGGAUGAUCAGUCACACCGAACAUGAGACACGGUCCGUACUCCUACGGGAGGCAGCAGUGGGGAAUAGUGGACAGUGGGCGAAAGCGUGAUGCAGCAAUGCCGCGUGUGUGAAGCAGGCCUUCGGCUUGUAAAGCACUUUAGGCUGAAAAGAAAAAGCUUUGGCUAGUAUCCAAAGCCUUGACGGUACCAGCAGAGUAAGCACCGGCUAACUCUGUGCCAGCCGCCGCCGUAAAAC
rnacentral:rRNA from 1 species